UACGUAGGGUGCGAGCGUUGUCCGGAAUUACUGGGCGUAAAGAGCUCGUAGGUGGUUUGUCGCGUUGUUCGUGAAAACCGGGGGCUUAACCCUCGGCGUGCGGGCGAUACGGGCAGACUUGAGUACUGCAGGGGAGACUGGAAUUCCUGGUGUAGCGGUGGAAUGCGCAGAUAUCAGGAGGAACACCUGAGGUGAAGACGGGUUGCUGGGCUGACACUGACGCUGAGGCGCGAAAGCUAGGGUAGCAAACGGG
rnacentral:rRNA from 1 species